rnacentral:tRNA from 1 species
GGGUGGGUAGCUCAGUGCUGAGGGCUUCGGUCUCGUAACCAGAAGGUCGUAGGAUCGAAUCCCGCUAGAGGUU